rnacentral:lncRNA from 1 species
GAAAUAAGGGAGGAAGAAGGAAGGGUAGAGGGGGAGGAGAGGGUGGAAAAGGGAGGAGAAGGAACAGGCAGAGGGCAGCCUGGAGGUCUCAGGAGCCAGCACCAAGACCUGAUACUGCAUAAGAAGCUAAAAAUACUGGGCUUCCUCCCCACUGCUGUCUCAAUGUCGUUUUUGUUGUUGUUGUUGUUGUUGUUGUUGUUUUUGGGUUUUUUUUUUUUUUAAAUAAGGCAGCCUCUUUCUAGUUCUCCCCUUCCACUGUCAUUUAUUUCAGUUUUUAUCUCCACAACAAAAAUUCCUUCCAACUUUCCCCCCUUGUCUCCCUCUAAUGCUCUUCACUCUCAAAUGCUAAUAACCUCCAGCUGCAAACGGCUUAGAAGUGGCUCUAGAUUGUUUGAUCUUUGGCCUGUGAUCUGCUUUCAUCUCUCUGCUUUCAAAUGUUACUUUAGAUUUACUUUAACCUAUUAACAUGCUUGGUAUUCAUAGACACGCACACUCCAAAGCAGCUUCCAAGCGCCUCAACCCCCUCCCCAUUUUAGCCAGGCAGGAAACUGGAACUCCCAACGCAGAGUAGACCGGAACUUUCCAGUGCUGGAUGGAGGAGGAGGCCCGAAAGGCAGAAGACUGUGUCUGAGGAGGCUCUGCAGGAGAAUGGUGGGAAGGGAAGGACAGGAGGAAGAGAUGAAGGAUUGCAGAGAAGAAAACAGAGAAGAGAAGGAAACGAGAGAGGCAUGAAUAUGGAUGAAACUCCUCACCGAGACCACAAGGGACAGUUCCGAGCACCAUGGUCAGAAUCCAGAUGUGCCUGUUCCGGGCCCCAGUGAAUGCCCAGCUUCUGUUCUCUACAGUAUGAGGUCUCCUACCUCUCACUUAAAAGAUGGUACUGCAGGCCAGGAAGAGCAAGUCUCCAUCACUGUAGUGGCUCUAGGCCAAAUCUCCAAAUGAAAUCAGGCUGGGGAGAAAUGAACAAGUGAGAUGCAGAAAACAAUGUGAAGAAGAAACUCUGAAGAUUCGAAUAAUAAUAGAAAAAAAAGGUGAGAGUUAUUUUUCAGCUCACUGGCUUUCUGAAAAGUAAUAUAAAGUUGGCCAGCGUCUUCUUGGAAUCGACCUUUCUGAGCCGAGACCCAGGCCACACGCACGUCUUUUUCCUCUCUUUCUAUUACCCGAAAUUUGUAUGGUUUCAUCUCCUCUGAUUCUCUUUCAUUUGUGCGCCUGUGCAAACCCCUGUGUCAGGGGCUUGUUCCUAACCUGGCAGGCCCACCAGGCUGCCAGCAUUCUCCUGGGCCUCCUGCAGGGCUGAGAAUUGAGAUCCUCCCAGGGCCUGCAGCUCUCCUGCUCCAGCUCCCCCACCCACCUGGUCUCCAAGCUGUCUUUGUUCCUAAGAGGACUCCCGUGUUCUUUCCUGCAGGCUGUCCUCUUCUCUCUGUGGGCUAAGGGGACAGGUCCUGGAGCAAAGCCGAGCCCAGAGUCUGCUGCACCGCGCAGCAGAGCACAUUCAUGAGGAAAGAGUGUGUCUUCUUCAGGGUGGCCGCUCCAAAUUCUCCAGGAUAUAGAUUCAGGAGGGGCUCCGGCCAUUGUUGAGAGUAAAAGCAUUGCUAUUUGCUGCUGUUCCAGGGAACCCUCUCAAGGGAGAGUGUGAAGGUCUUGCCUAGAGGUAUUUCUGCUGCUCUCUCCUUCUGUCACCUCCUACUCAAGGCAUGCACACACUCACACAUGCAAUAUGCACAAACACAUGUGUAAGGUCUUCAAACAUAUCCACGCACAUAUACCCAUACCCCCUGUCUUAGUCAGGGUUUCUAUUCCUGCACAACAUCAUGACCAAGAAGCAAGUUGGGGAGGAAAGGGUUUAUUCAGCUUACAUUUCCACACU